UUGUGAUAUAUCUUGUUUGUGGUGUAAAUAAAUUAGUGUGGAUGCCAUGUCCCCACAUGUUCUGUAGCACUAUGAUCUCUCCAAGUCUUUGAGGUUAUAAAUAGCCUCUUUCAUUUAUGAAAGAAGACACCCAAAAAUAGAAAGAAUUAUUAUACUACACUCGCUCCUUUCCCUCUUUCUCUCUAUGCAUGUGCUUUUAUUGCUCCUUUAUUUUAUUACAUCGCUUUUAUUUUAUAACCCAUUAUCAACACGAGGCUUUAACUAACUGAUAUUAUCCAAUUCAGUCGGGAUUAAUCUUUAAAGAAAUUCAGCGAUGAGAAAGUGAGAGUAUGCAAACGAUGAACUUCAAAGGAGUUGGCGUGGUUAUAUUUCAUGCCAUUGGUUAAGCGUGAAACGGUGGAUUCAAUCUCAUUGCAUCUAGAGGGUAUAAUAUCAGGUCCAGUCCUGGUGCACCGUGAUAAUUAAUGAAAUAUUGGGUUUGAGUCCCAUCAUAUUAUGGUCUACCAAGCCUUUAUAUGGGUAGGAUAGUGGGCUAGCGUCUCAUGCCCCAUUUUGAUGAUAUAAUUAUGACUAAAGCAAAAUAAUGUGCUUUUGAUGAAAAGUUAUGAAGCUUGCCACAUUGAAUUUUCUCCAUUCCGGAAGUGAAUGUCAUAGCAGUACAUAAUAAGUCUGAAAGAAGACAACUAGCUGAAUGUAUGAAUGUGGGCAUGAAAAGAUAAAAUAAUAAUGGUCAUCAUGAUUGUGGUAAUUAUAAAAGGAAGAACACAAUGGGUUCUCAAAAUGGCCCUUCAAAAGGUGAAGUUAAUCUUUGCGAUAUGGUACGAAAUGUCGUUGGGAACGCAAUUAUCGUGCGACCUAAUUUGACCGAUUUGAUAAAUCUUCCAUCAAAAGAAAGGAAUACAAAAUGGAGGCGCACUUGACCUUUCAAAUUAAAGUGAUGCUGAGGUUGGUCACAUAAAUAUAAUAAAUUUCAAGGCAUGACAAGGAACUUAUAAUGAACAUUUAUGAAGCACAUACAAAUUAUUAUAGUUCAUUCCUUGAAUAAAAUGUAACUUGUGAUAAGCACCGUGAUUGCUGGCCAUUCUUUAAAGUGAAUGUGGCAAGAUGUGAUAAUAUAUAUGCAUAAAGACAUGCUUAUGUAUGGUUAUACUAUACCACAACUCACCUCUUGAAGAGGUUUGAGAAAAAUCAUUAUUGUGAUAUAAGUGGUCAUUGAUCGACUUGCCGAUGAUUAUUUAAGAGAAAAGGUAAAAGCAAGCAACAGUUUUUGCCUAUAAUGAUUUUGAUCAUGACCGAAAAUGAUAGAAUUUUCUCCUUUAAAGGGGAUGUGUUAUGAAAUAUGUGGUAACACAAUUAAUUGACAGCUUUGGAAGAGCUAAUUUAUUACUAUUUUGGUGAUUAUCAAUAAAACAUUUACUGUAGUAAGUCUCAAAGACACUUAUUGAGUUUCAAAGGUAUUCACCAAAGUGGCCAUUCAUAGUGAGACUAUAUAUGAUAGAUGGAAAGAUUUAAGAUCUUCAUAUUACUACAGUCAUAGCAGGUAAGAAAUAUAAAUGUGAAAGGUUAUCCUGCUUUCCUCCUCUUUGUACUACACAAAUAUGAGCAUCAUGAUAGAAUCACAUACGAUUGUAAACUAUAAAUUUAUUGAAAGAAACAUCAGUUGGCAUGA